GUACUCACUUCAGCAGCACAUCUUCUAAAAUUGGAAAGAUAUAGAGAAGAUUAGCAUGGCCCCUGAGCCAGGAUGACGCACAAACUCACGAAGUCUUCAAUGGACCA
ensembl:snRNA U6 U6 spliceosomal RNA